GGAAGUGAAAAUCGUGGUAAAUUUUAGUGAUUAAGGUGAGCUUUUGUUUAGAUUUUCUUGAAACUGUGUUUAUAAACUAUUUUUCAUUUAUUUGGGUUAGUUUUAAAAGUUUGUCAAAUUCCAAUGGCUUUCUGGUGAAAUUCUGGCGAUAUUGUUGGUGGCAAAUGAAAGUUCUCUUCAAGAUCUUUUAAACGGCAUCAAGUAAUUUAGGAGGAAAUAAAUUUCAAAGUUUUUAAUGUGGGUUUUUGACAAUCUCGAGUAGUUGGCUUUGAUACACUAAAAAUUUAUCUAUAUUUGUUUUGUAAUAUAGAUGCUUUUCUUAGUAUGAGGUUUGUACUUCUAUUUGGUAUUGUUAUCUCCAUCAUAUAACUUUAUGCUAAGAAAUACGAAGCCCUAAAAUAAGUUAGUUGAAAUUGUGAACCAAAAAAACUUAAUUUAGUUUGUGAAAAUUUUUUAUGUUUCAGCUUUUGAAACUUAAUUUUUCGGUAAUCUAUUUUGACGAAACAAGCUUUUAUCUUUUAGUAUUACAUUUAUUCUUCAAAUUCAUAUUUUUACAUUACCGAAAUAACAAGUAAAUUUUGAGUUUGAAUGAUUUCAAAUAAGUCAAACGAUCAUGAUGUUCAGAAUCUUUGAAACUUCGAUUUUUAAUUGUUUUUAAAAAUAUUUUCGAUCCGAAUACAUAUUAUUUUGUUGGAAACCAUACUAAACUGGUUUUUUUUUAUUAAUUUUCUUAUAAUAUGUAUGUAUUUUUUUAAAAUAUAAUUACUUACUUUUGAGGUAAAAUAUUGUUUUAUUAAACUGUACAAUUAUGUAUUAGCUUGUUAGUGAGAUUGCCACGGAAAGUCAUAUUUGGUGGAUUUUUGGAUUAAAUUUUGGGGCCCUAUUAAAUUUUCAAAAAUUUUAAGAAUCCAAUGAGAAUUGUAAAAUAUAUAUAUAUAUAGUGCCUAAUUAAAUUUUUAAAUUUUUUUAUGAAAUUAAUGAGAAUUUCAAAAUUUUUAAAAGAUUUUAAUUAAAAAGUAUAAUGAGAAUUUUAAAAAAUUUGAGGCCUUAAAACCUUCAAAGGGAGAAAUGAAAAUUUUUAAAAAAUUUGGAGGGUCAAAUUAAAAAAAUUUUAAGAGAAAAAUUAAAAUUUCUCAAAAAAAAUGGUGGGGGAUGAGGCCAUGUAAGAAUCCGCUUUUGCAUACUUUUUAAGUCUAUGAUUUGUUGAUUGAAUUCUAAUUUUUAAAUUUCAUUUUUAAAUUUUAGGCUACUAGGAGAUUUGUGAAAAUUUCAUAUGUCGAUUCAGUAAACCAAGUAAGUAACUCGACAUUCAUUUGGUGUUUAAUUCCUAAAAAGUUAGCUUCAAAUAUUCUACGUUAUUUAUGUAAUAUGAGAUAUUUUGAUCAUGUUUUAUGAAAACUUGAGUUAAACAUGCUAAUAUCGUUUGUUUGUUUAGAAAUUGAUUUCAACCGUGCCACUAGUUUAUAAUAGUGAUUUUUGAUUUAUUGUCGUUGAGGAGAAUUGUGGUUUUUGUUUCAACUCAUUACUAUUAGGGUUAAUUGUGAUUUUUUACAAACGCCAAUGUGAUCCAAAUCUUCAUUGUCUUCCAAGCCGGUGAGACCCGAAUCCUUCCCAGCACCCUCGAUACCGUUUCCCAUGACUUUGUCCCUCCAUGACAUAGGCAUAGCCAGAGCCAAGUCCAGCGCGAUGUCCGAGUUGGAAGACUCGCCUUCACCACAACCUUUGAAGCGCACUUUCUUAGUGUUCCGACCACCAAGAGCAAAAU
rnacentral:lncRNA from 1 species